CGCUAGUCUCUCUUCUUCACAUCGUCUCUCUUCUUCACAAAGAUCACUAUUCUCUUCUCUCACACACUCUGUUGUCAAGGUCUUUCUCUCUACUGAACAACUUUGAAUUGCUCUAAAUGACAACGGUGAAGAUCAUGGUGGCGAGGAUAAAAUUGCUGAGAAACAAGGAGGUGGUUGUCAGGAAAAUGAUGAGAUACAGACAUUGGUAUGCUUCUCGAAUCCCACUGCUCGAUCGUAUUCAGGGCUUAAAUUUUGGUUGCAAGCAAUGGCUGCGAAUCCAUCUGGGUUGGAGAAUUGAAUGGUGGAGCGGCCAAACUUGUGGAGGAUCAAGAUUGAUCCCUUUUUCAUUCCCUUCAUUGUGAAAGGUUAGAGAGACUUCAUUAGGUUAUUGCAGAAAAUUCAAUAUUCCAAGCUAAAGCGGAAUCUGCAAUCCUUCAGUGUGACCCUUAGUUUGAUAAAAAGGGAUAUUCCCACCCUGGAUAUCGCAUUCUGCCGCAGUUCAAGAGGAAGUGUGUUAACAAGAAUCUACUCCGGAGUAAGUCCGAGCAUUUUUACGUCAAUGCGUUCCUGAACGUGGAACUUGAUGUCUGUGAUGCUUUCCUCGACGCCUCAAUGUGAUUACUAAUUCUUCAAGUAAAACACUAAUUAAAUAGGAUUCAAGUUUCUGAAGAUUUGGGGAAUAAUAACAUUUUAAAGCUUCAUAUUCUUUCCCUCCUAAGUUAUCCGCAAUAUUUGUAAUCUGCAAUUGUUCCACAAUCUUAAUGAGAGUAAAAGUACUCUUGCCUACUUUUUUGCAUCAGGAUGCUUUAUGUAGUUUUCUGUACCCAUCACCUUUAGUUUCUGAUCGACGUUAUGUGUCCUUCAUUCCCCUUGAUGUUAUGGGUCCUUUGUGCUACAAAUUACCAUUUCUUUGAUUACUUUGUGUGGUUGGUACAUGCUUGCUACUACAGCUGAUACUCGAGGCUUGUUGAAAUUGGAAUGAUAUUCAUUAUAUAAAAUCAAAUUGCUCGAGUAUCAAAUCUAGAUUGGCGUUUCUUUCUAGACACAACUAAUCUGUUUUUGAGAGACUGGAAGAUUAGAGAUAUUUAUUCUCUUCAGACAGAAAUCAUUCCCACAACCGAAGCAGUUGGAAAAAUAGCAUAUCCAAGCAGGUUGGCAGAGGGAAAUGUUAUCGUCUCAUCUAGUAAUACCACACCUUGAAGAUGAAGUUCCUUUCGUGCAGGUCUUUGUACAAUGAAGCAGGUCUUUGUGUCAGCACCAGUUAAGCUUUAUAAGAAGAAACAGCAUUUGGGAGCUGAGGAGCAAAUCUUGAGUCAGCUUCUUCGCGGUUGAUACGCAGAUUUCUUGAAAUACUAAUAACAAGUUUCAAGUUCUACUCUAACUUGGAGGAAAACACAGUGCCCAAGGAGGCUGGUCACAGGUUUGAUGGUUCUAUAGUGGUGCUAAUGGUUCAAUUUUUAUGUGAAGUUACUUUCGUUUAAUGG